UACAUCCAACUGUAGCCCCUUGCAGACUAGACAUGGAACUUGAAUCCCUUCCAGCUUUAUAAGAAAUCCAAAGUGCAGCCAGCUGGAAUAUGGCAGCUAGCAUUAUUUGGUCAGAUUUUGGAUGCAAUAUCUGAAAAAGCAACAUACCUUUCAGAACCCCGCAUUGUUAAAGAAGGGAGGAGUACAUGUCUGUUGAGACACAUGUCAGACAAAGAAAUCCGUGAACGCAAGACAAUGGAGAAAAGCAAAGGAGUUCAGGGGAGCACUGGGAAGUCCUGUAAUGAUUUGGACGCUCUCAAACAGUGAUUGUAAAAAGUGGAGGGACUGAAAUUGGUUCAUUGGGGUUUUGGUUAUCUGUACAGACUCAUAAACUUGCUGACAAUGAUCAAUCCA